rnacentral:rRNA from 1 species
AGAGUUUGAUCAUGGCUCAGAACGAACGCUGGCGGUGCGCUUAAUACAUGCAAGUCGUGCGAGAAAGUACCCUUCGGGGUGCGAGUAGAGCGGCGAACGGGUGAGUAACACGUAAGCAACCUGCCUUCAAGUUUGGGAUAACCUUGCCAACGCGGGGCUAAUACCAAAUGUGGUCACGAAACUGCAUGGUUUUGUGACUAAAGCUGACCUCUGCUUGCAAGUUAGCGCUUGAAGAUGGGCUUGCGUCCCAUUAGCUUGUUGGUGGGGUAAUGGCCUACCAAGGCAACGAUGGGUAGCCGACCUAAGAGGGUGAUCGGCCACAUUGGGACUGAGAUACGGCCCAGACUCCUACGGGAGGCAGCAGUAGGGAAUUUUGCGCAAUGGACGAAAGUCUGACGCAGCGACGCCGCGUGAGCGAUGAAGGUCUUCGGAUUGUAAAGCUCUGUUGAGUGGGAAGAAAACCUUCAAGGUUAAUAUCCUUGGAGCUUGACGGUACCACUCGAGGAAGCCCCGGCUAACUACGUGCCAGCAGCCGCGGUAAUACGUAGGGGGCUAGCGUUGUUCGGAAUCACUGGGCGUAAAGGGAGUGCAGGCGGGAAGGUAAGUUAGGAGUUAAAUCCACAGGCUCAACCUGUGGCCUGCUCUUAAUACUGUCUUUCUGAGUAUGAGAGG